UACGGAGGAUGCGAGCGUUAUCCGGAUUUAUUGGGUUUAAAGGGUGCGUAGGCGGAACAUUAAGUCAGCGGUAAAAUCGAGGGGCUCAACCCCUUUAAGCCGUUGAAACUGGUGAUCUUGAGUGGGCGAGAAGUAUGCGGAAUGCGUGGUGUAGCGGUGAAAUGCAUAGAUAUCACGCAGAACUCCGAUAGCGAAGGCAGCUUACCAGACUGCGACUGACGCUGAAGCACGAGAGCGUGGGUAGCGAACAGG
rnacentral:rRNA from 1 species